rnacentral:lncRNA from 1 species
AUCCAUCCAUUGGAGGUGAUCAAAGUAGAGAUGUUUAUUGGGGGCGAAUGAAAGAAUACUUUGAUGCUCAGAACGUGAGUGGAAUUGACCGCUCCGAGAUGCUCAGAAUGAGGUUAGGGAGGAAGAUUCAUCUACGGAGGCGGAAGAAUCGUCUUUGAAAGAUAAGGACGAAGACGAGGAAGAUGAUGAGUGAUGUGUCUUUCAUUUAUAUGUCUUGAACUUGUUUGCAUUUUGAACUUGGUUGGAUGAACUUGUGGGCAUGAACUUUUAUGCAUCUCAACU